UUAGAUCCUUAAAGGCAUUUUGCUUCUGGACUGAAGUUGAGACACCAUUUUGGUUAAUUUCUAUUUUGAUGUAAAUUUAUAAUUCAUAUAUUGUAUUUUUACAAAUAAUGUUUUAGGUGCUUCACAUAGAUUAUAGUUAGAGUCCUGAUUCUAUAUUGUGCUAUUUGAUUGUUAUGGAGGAAAGGAGUUCUCUUUUGCUGAGUUGAUGUCAUAGAUUGUGAUGAAAUAUUUUUUUGAGGUUCUAUGUUUUCGGGGAGGUUCUGUUAAAAAUUUUUACAAAAAGUUUAAGAAUAUUUUAUUUCUUUAAAAAAUUGUUACAAUGAUUUUCUAUCCUAUUUUAAAUGAAUUAAAAUAUUAUAUUAAAGUUUCCUUAAUCAAGGCUUAAGGGAUAUAUGUUUAUGCAUAUAUCUCGUGUCAGUCACGUCUAAUUUUUAGGGCGUGAUAGAGGUAAUUCGUAGAAAGGUCAAGGCAUUGCAGUUUGCAGAGAACCCCAAUGUUUUUUGGUAUGCUACCAAUCAGGUUGUUUGUUUUAAGAUCAAGACGAAGAAGAUUUGGAAAUGUAGAGAAAUUCAAGUUUUGAAGGGUACCUUCAAGGCCAGUGUAAGCCAAGUUUAUUUCAAUCACACUUCCUGAAGAAUUAUCACAUGUUGUUCCACGCCAUGAACAUGGGCUUUGAGCUGCACUUGAGUUCUGCGCUGGAGAGACCCAUGACUCUAAGAUUGGCUGACCUGUGAGACUGUCUUUGUAAUGACCCUAAAUUUUAAAUUAAACAAUUUUUUUUUCUCCUAGUAGAUAUUUUAUUAAAAAAAAGUUUAAUAGCAAGUAGAAAGGGAUAAUUUAUAAGAAUUUAUACUAGAAAUUUUCUUAAGGACUUAGGGUCCAAAGGUUUUUGAGAAAAAGCUUGAUUUUAAAAUUAUAAGAGAAUGUAGUGCCUUUUUUGUAAUUUUACUGUGUUAUUUCUUGUGAUUUUCUCGUGUCCUUCCAUGUAAUUUUUCCAGAAACUUCUUUUGUUCGGUUUUUAUGUCUUGCGUGGAGGCAAAAACAGAGCAUCCUGUAAUCUUCUCUUCACCGACUUAGAUUUCGUUUCUUUCAUCAUUUUCGAAACCUUCCUCCUCCCCUUUGAACUUAUACUUCUUCUCACCGGUAGCGUGCAUGUUGCUUCGCUGGUUCAUAUCUUCUGUUGAGCGUGCAGAGUGAUCAGAAUCCUUCGUUCAUCCCUAUUUCGCUGCUUCUUUGUUCAGUCUACAAUUCUGUUGCUCACCGUUAUAGAGGUCGGAGUCACGAGUUUGUCGUUCCCCUGUUCUUUGUUCACCAUGGAUUCCUUCUUCUCCCUUGCUCGUUGGCAUCAUUUAGGUACUGGUGAAUGAAGCUCGUCCUUUGUCCUCCUCCUCCUUCGUGCAACAGCUUCUCUUUCCUCCUCCACCAUCGAGUUCUGUCGGGCUCCCUCUCCCCUGCACAGCUCCUGCAAAUCUUCUCUCUUCUUGCUGUGCUGUCUAUGAUUAAGAUGGUAUAGUUGAACUCGUAACUCAAGGUAUCCACUGAGGAGUUUUAUUGCUGAAUUGAAGCAGAAGAAUUAUUUUAGUCAAAUUUUAAUUUGAUGAAAAUUU